AUACUUACCUGGCAGGGGAGAUACCAUGAUCCCAAAGGUGGUUUUCCCAGGGCGAGGCUUAUCCAUUGUACUCUGGAUGUGUUGACCCCUGUGAUUUCCCCAAAUGUGGAAAACUUGACUGCAUAAUUUGUGGUAGUGGGGGACUGUGUUCAUGCUCUCCCCUG
rnacentral:snRNA from 1 species